AACGAACGCUGGCGGCAUGCCUAACACAUGCAAGUCGAACGAGACCUUCGGGUCUAGUGGCGCACGGGUGCGUAACGCGUGGGAACCUGCCCUUAGGUUCGGAAUAACUCCCCGAAAGGGGUGGUAAUACCGGAUAAUGUCAUCGGACCAAAGCUUUAUCGCCUUUGGAUGGGCCCGCGUUGGAUUAGCUUGUUGGUAGGGAAAAAGCCUACCAAGGCGAGGAUCAAUAGCUGGUCUGAGAGGAUGAUCAGCCACACUGGGACAGAGACACGGCCCAGACGCCUACGGGAGGCGGCAGAGGGGAAUAUUGGACCAUCGGCGAAAGCCUGAGCCAGCACUGCCGCGUGAGUGGUGAAGGCCUUGGGGUUGUAAGGCUCUUUUGCCCGGGGUGGUGAUGACAGUACCGGGAGAAUAAGCUCCGGCUAACUCCGUG
rnacentral:rRNA from 1 species